AGCUAGUUGGUGAGGUAACGGCCCACCAAGGCGACGAUCGGUAGCCGGACUGAGAGGUUGAACGGCCACAUUGGGACUGAGACACGGCCCAGACUCCUACGGGAGGCAGCAGUGGGGAAUAUUGCACAAUGGGGGAAACCCUGAUGCAGCGACGCCGCGUGGAGGAAGAAGGUCUUCGGAUUGUAAACUCCUGUUGUUGAGGAAGAUAAUUACGGUGCUCAACAAGGAAGUGACGGCUAACUACGUGCCAGCAGCCGCGGUAAAACGUAGGUCACAAGCGUUGUCCGGAAUUACUGGGUGUAAAGGGAGCGCAGGCGGGAAGACAAGUUGGAAGUGAAAUCCAUGGGCUUAACCCAUGAACUGCUUUCAAAACUGUUUUUCUUGAGUAGUGCAGAGGUAGGCGGAAUUCCCGGUGUAGCGGUGGAAUGCGUAGAUAUCGGGAGGAACACCAGUGGCGAAGGCGGCCUACUGGGCACCAACUGACGCUGAGGCUCGAAAGUGUGGGUAGCAAACAGGAUUAGAUACCCUGGUAGUCCACACCGUAAACGAUGAUUACUAGGUGUUGGAGGAUUGACCCCUUCAGUGCCGCAGUUAACACAAUAAGUAAUCCACCUGGGGAGUACGACCGCAAGGUUGAAACUCAAAGGAAUUGACGGGGGCCCGCACAAGCAGUGGAGUAUGUGGUUUAAUUCGACGCAACGCGAAGAACCUUACCAAGUCUUGACAUCCUGUGACAGACGUAGAAAUACGUUCUUCCUUCGGGACACAGAGACAGGUGGUGCAUGGUUGUCGUCAGCUCGUGUCGUGAGAUGUUGGGUUAAGUCCCGCAACGAGCGCAACCCUUAUGGUCAGUCACUACGCAAGAGGACUCUGGCCAGACUGCCGUUGACAAAACGGAGGAAGGUGGGGAUGACGUCAAAUCAUCAUGCCCUUUAUGACUUGGGCUACACACGUACUACAAUGGCGUUAAACAAAGAGAAGCAAGACCGCGAGGUGGAGCAAAACUCAGAAACAACGUCCCAGUUCGGACUGCAGGCUGCAACUCGCCUGCACGAAGUCGGAAUUGCUAGUAAUCGUGGAUCAGCAUGCCACGGUGAAUACGUUCCCGGGCCUUGUACACACCGCCCGUCACACCAUGAGAGCCGGGGGGACCCGAAGUCGGUAGUCUAACCGCAAGGAGGACGCCGCCGAAGGUAAAACUGGUGAUUGGGGUGAAGUCGUAACAAGGUAGCCGUAGGAGAACCUGCGGCUG
rnacentral:rRNA from 1 species